UUUUACUUCUUCAAGCGCAAGCGACGCUAUUCUAGUGACGCCGCGCCAUUACGCCAGAAUCUCUUAAAUUUAUUUUUUUUAUUUCUCAUAUUGAAUGUAUUAAAUGAAUUGAAACUGAAGAAGAUAAAUUUCCUGCUUCAGAAAAAUGGUCAACUUACAUAUGAAGACAGUCAGGCGAGAACGACCAGCUACGCUUCGCAGAAAAGGAACGCGAGUAAAACCAGGCGGCAGAAAUGUUGGUUGUGAAGGAAAUUGAGGCAGCAGUCGGUCAUUAUCUGAGUGACAGAUGCUGAAAUGGAGGAACAGUUAUAAAUUAAAAAAUAAAUCUGCCAAGUACUACAAAUUCGUGAAAUAAGAUGUUGAGUGUGCACUCCAGUGAAUUUACUGUACAACUAGUAAGAAAUACAAGCUCUCUUAUAUGUUUUAAGAAAAUGCCUUAAAGAACAAAUUUUUGUUUCUUUAAACAGUUCUUUUCAGAACUGUAAGAGUAUGUAAGAAAGUUAUUAUAUAAUAAAUAUAAUGAGAUUCCUUUAAAAAUUCACAAGAGCAAAGAAAAGACAAAGAAUAAAGGAAUAUACAGAUUGUAAUCUCGAUAUGUUAUAAAAAGUUAAUUGAAAAAUUAUUUAAAGAAUGGAAACAAAAGGAAUACAGACAAGUACACGAAACUUUUUAUAAACGGUUCUUUUCAGAACCAUGAACAGUUCUUUUCAGAACUAUGUCCCGUUUCUAAAUAUAGUUCUAUAUAGAACUAUUAUUUCUUGUUUCUUGGAUAAGUCUAGAGGAUGGAUAAGUCUACAUCUGUAUGUCAUGAUUUAUUGUGUAAUAAAGACUUAUUAAGCGAUUUUUUUUUUUAAUUUUAUACAUUUAUUAAUUGGCCAAAGCUGUUCGUACUUUUAAUGUGUUUAUAUGUGUGUAUUGAUUGAAUAAAUCAAUUAUUGAUUAUAAGAUUUGCGUUAAUUGACUUUUAAUGUUUCUAUUUUUUACUAUUUCGUGUUUAAUUAUUUUUAUUAUUGAGUGUCUCGAUUUUUCAAUUUUGAAAGUGUCAGACUUGGGUUCAGAAAAAGUGAACGUGUGAAAUUUUAAAAUAACUAGUCAUGAUGGUGAAUUAAGUGACAAUUUUAUCGAAAUAUAUCUAUAACCACUGAGAAGUCAAGACCAGCGUACAUUACGUAUACGAAAUGUAAACUUUUGAUGGAACUACUCUUCAAGGUAUCUUUCACUAUCAAACUGUAUAUUUAGUUUAGGCGGAAAUGAAUCUUGGUAUUCAAAACCAAUUCUUAUUAUUAUUUUGUGCUUUUUAAUAUAAUUAUUUAGUACUCAAUAUGAUUGAUGUUUACAGAUUAGAAUUGAAUAUAGUGUCAGACGUGAAAAAAAGAAUACCUAAAAUAGAGCAGAAGGCCCUCAGAAGUCUUUUUGAAAGAAGAUUAACUGUCAUCUAGGCGUAGCUUUACAUUAUUGAUGCUAGUCUGCAAAUCUGCAUUACCAGGAAGAAACAUUGUCAACUUUUUUUUUUUUAUUUUUCUCUUUUUUGUUUUUGUAUUUUAUAAAUUCAGUAGUCAUUCAUACUUAUAAUCAGUGAUGUGCCGGAUCGUUAAAAGUGUAUAUCCGUGGAUACGGAUCUAAAUACACAGAUAUUUGGUGUCAAGAUCCGCGGCUACGGAUACGAAUCUUUAUUUUCUUCUUCAAUCGGUGUCGGUACAUAAGAUAUUGAAACGAUAGUUGACGUCACGCCUGCCACAACGACAGGCAGGACACGUUUUCACUUACAUUGAUUAUUACGGUUUUAGUACAACAGUUAAAAUAAUAUCUAAGAAGU
rnacentral:lncRNA from 1 species